GAUCAUUAUUGAAUAAACCUGAU
rnacentral:rRNA from 1 species